GACACUCUUAUUCAGUGACUACAUCCAAGUCACGACAGCACCAGGAGAUGCACCUUCUAAAAGACUGAAAAGGCUGUUCAGUGAAGCCAAAAUUCCAGGGGCUAAAGGUAACAAAUCUGAUAAGAAGACUGCAACAAAGCAACCCCAGAG